rnacentral:rRNA from 1 species
AGCACAUUUCUUGUGUGACCGCGUACUUUUUGUAGAACGGGCCAACGAGUUACGUUAAGUAGCAAGGUUAAGCACUUAAGGUGUGGAGCCGUAGCGAAAGCGAGUUUUAACUGAGCGUUCAGUUACUUGACGUAGACCCGAAACCGGGCGACCUACCCAUGAGCAGGAUGAAGCGAAAGUAAAAUUUCGUGGAGGUCCGAACCCACGAGCG